UAAGGAAUAUUGCGCAAUGGGCGAAAGCCUGACGCAGCGACGCCGCGUGGGGGAUGAAGGUCUUCGGAUUGUAAACCCCUUUCGGGAGGGAAGAUGGAAUGGGGUAACCCAUUCGGACGGUACCUCCAGAAGCAGCCACGGCUAACUUCGUGCCAGCAGCCGCGGUAAUACGAAGGUGGCAAGCGUUAUUCGGAUUUACUGGGCGUACAGGGAGCGUAGGCGGUUCGGUAAGCCCUCUGUGAAAUCUUCAGGCUUAACCUGGAAAAGUCGGAGGGGACUGCUGGGCUAGAGGACGGGAGAGGAGCGCGGAAUUCCCGGUGUAGCGGUGAAAUGCGUAGAGAUCGGGAGGAAGGCCGGUGGCGAAGGCGGCGCUCUGGAACGUUUCUGACGCUGAGGCUCGAAAGCGUGGGGAGCAAACAGGAUUAGAUACCCCUGUAGUCCCUGAGCGGGCUGGCAAGGCGCAU
rnacentral:rRNA from 1 species